UUGCGGUGCUGCAGCAGCGGACCCGGCUGCCGUCGGUGCAAUUGGCGCGGGAUUUGGCCAGUCUGUAUUUCGCAGGUUCCGUCACCACCACCGCUGGC
rnacentral:tRNA from 1 species